AAGCCCCAUUGACCAGAUCUUCAACUUCCGCUUGUCCCAUGCCCGGAGGACUGUGGAGAAUGCGUUUGGCAUCAUGGCAGCUCAGUUCCGUAUCUACCACAGAAUGAUGGAGUUGAGCCCAUGCAAUGCUGAGAAGAUCGUGCAAGCCACUGCCAUUCUUCACAAUUUCCUCAGGUUUCUAUAAUGCGUGAUGGAGGAUAUUACCAGCUAUAGCCAGCAACCAAGAUGUCAACUAGCUCUACACUACUCUACAAAGACGUUUUAGCAGCUUGGGCACUGGAUCCUGCUCUAAAGCCUUGUGCAGUGCCUUGGCUGCUGGACCCUGCCGUGCCGGCCUGGCUUCUGGACCCUGCUACGGGGGCCUGGCUGCUGGACCAUGCCAUGCUGGCCUGGCUGCUGGACCCUGCUACGGGGGCCUGGCUGCUGGACCAUGCCAUGCUGGCCUGGCUGCUGGACCCUGCUACGGUGGCCUGGCUGCUGGACCAUGCCAUGCUGGCCUAGCUACUGGACCCUGCUACGGGGGCCUGAGUGCUGGACCCUGCCAUGCUGGCCUGGCUGCUGGACCCUGCUACGGGGGCCUGAGUGCUGGACCCUGCCGUGCUGGCCUGGCUGCUGGACCCUGCUACGGGGGCCUGAUUGCUGGACCCUGCUGUGCU